UUGGAAAAAGCAAUUUGGCAAUAUGAUUUUUCUCUUUCAGAACUUUGAAUAUAUUGGCUCACUAUCUUCUGGCCACUAAAGUUUCUCAUGGGAAAUCUGUUGAUAACCUUAUUGAGGAUCCUGUUAUAUGCUACAGAGAACUUAUAGAAAAUGGAACUUUCAUCCCCAAGAGAAGACAUUUUGCUAUUGAUAGUCCUUUUGCAGACACCUCUGAAAGUCUUCAAGCUGUACACAAAAUUAAGGAAUCUUACAAUUCUGUAUUAUAUUACAGGAAAGCAUUUGGAAUUUUAAGGCAAACAAAGAAAAAGAAAAACAAAGACAAAAGGAGGAGGAGUGACAUCAGCAUCACGGUAGAUAUUUGCCAGUGGGAUAAUGGCCUUGGUGGUAGAACAACUGAGAAGUCAUCUGCAGAAAAUAAAAGCCCUGCAAACCUAAACCAUGCCUUUUAACAAAAUAAUAUAAGACAGAAUAAAGAUUUAAAUAAAAAAACACUAAAAGGGAAUGUGAGAAUCAUGUGUGUAUAAUCUCAAAUAGAAAAUACCUUUUAAGCGUUAAAAACAACAAUUACAGCAGUAAUUUAAUAAUAAGUUAUUGAUAUAUUCAUUGUGCAUGACCAAAAGCAUCUUAAAGCUUAAGAAAAAGUUGAAUAAACAAAAACGAAAGCAUUUGUUACUCACAUCAUAGAGAAAAGGCUAUUUCCCUCAAAUAUAUGGAACUCUAAAUCCUAUGUGAAAAAGACCACUAUACCAAUGCAAAAUGGACAAAGAACACAAACAGAUGGUUCAUGGCAAGGGGUGCAUGUAUAAGUGUAUGUAUAAAUCUUAUGAUGUUGCCAAAUCUUUCUUAGUUCCUGUGAAGUGUAAGGGACUCAGUUAUUGUACACUCAUACUCUUUAUAAUCUCAUGAAGUCUCCAGUGUGAAUCUUUGUUCCCCAAUCUAGACAUUUUCAUCUAAUUCCCUAUUCAGUAACUUUACAGUCAUGUACUGCAUAAGGAUGUCUCAGUCAAUGACGACCACACACAUGACUGUGUUCUCAUAAGAUUAGUUACCACAUAGCCUAGGUGUAGUAGGUUAUACUAUCUAGGUUUGUGUAAGUACACUCUAUGAUGUUUGCACAACAAUGAAACUGCAUAACGAUGCGUUUCUCAGAACAUAUCUCUGUUAAGCAAUGCACAACUACACUUGAAUGUCUA
rnacentral:lncRNA from 1 species